UACGGAGGGUGCAAGCGUUAUCCGGAUUCACUGGGUUUAAAGGGUGCGUAGGUGGGCAGGUAAGUCAGUGGUGAAAUCUCCGGGCUUAACCCGGAAACUGCCGUUGAUACUAUUUGUCUUGAAUGUCGUGGAGGUGAGCGGAAUAUGUCAUGUAGCGGUGAAAUGCUUAGAGAUGACAUAGAACACCGAUUGCGAAGGCAGAUCACUACGCGAAUAUUGACACUGAGGCACGAAAGCGUGGGGAUCAAACAGG
rnacentral:rRNA from 1 species